rnacentral:rRNA from 1 species
UACACUCCUGCGGGAGGCAGCAGUGGGGAAUAUUGCACAAUGGGCGCAAGCCUGAUGCAGCCAUGCCGCGUGUAUGAAGAAGGCCUUCGGGUUGUAAAGUACUUUCAGCGGGGAGGAAGGCGAUAAGGUUAAUAACCUUGUCGAUUGACGUUACCCGCAGAAGAAGCACCGGCUAACUCCGUGCCAGCAGCCGCGGUAAUACGGAGGGUGCAAGCGUUAAUCGGAAUUACUGGGCGUAAAGCGCACGCAGGCGGUCUGUCAAGUCGGAUGUGAAAUCCCCGGGCUCAACCUGGGAACUGCAUUCGUAACUGGCAGGCUAGAGUCUUGUAGAGGGGGGUAGAAUUCCAGGUGUAGCGGUGAAAUGCGUAGAGAUCUGGAGGAAUACCGGUGGCGAAGGCGGCCCCCUGGACAAAGACUGACGCUCAGGUGCGAAAGCGUGGGGAGCAAACAGGAUUAGAUACCCCUGUAGUCCC